rnacentral:lncRNA from 1 species
ACUGUAUCUGUCUCUCUAGUCUUGACACUUUAUCUUUUUAUAGUUACUUAUUUUUUAGGGCUUCUGGAUUUCUGACUUGGUUACGAAGAAUUCUCCUUCCCAAGAUUGUACCCUGCUUGCUCAGCACUUCAACGAUGUCAGGGCCAAUAUUUCUACUGUUCACUUGGCAAUGCCUCAUGGUCAUGGUAUUGUGGCCACAGCUUCAGCCAUCACUUCUACCAUCGCUUCUUCAUUCAAAGCUGAGAGAAGGGAAACAGGUUUUCUAAGUGAGUACAUUUAGUAAAUUGAGGUGAUUUGGGAAACAUUUAAAGGAAAGCAAAAGCUUUCC